rnacentral:rRNA from 1 species
ACGAGAGGCCCAAACGUUAUUCGGAAUUACUGGGCUUAAAGAGUUCGUAGGCGGCGCAGAAAGUAGGGUGUGAAAGCCCUCGGCUUAACCGAGGAAUUGCGCUCUAAACUACUGUGCUUGAGGAAUCUAGAGGUGAGCGGAACUGAUGGUGGAGCGGUGAAAUGCGUUGAUAUCAUCAGGAACACCGGAGGCGAAGGCGGCUCACUGGGGAUUUUCUGACGCUGAGGAACGAAAGCCAGGGGAGCGAACGGGA